UCCGAACCGGGUGUGUGUCUCAGA
rnacentral:piRNA from 1 species